GUAGGUGGCGAGCGUUGUCCGGAAUUAUUGGGCGUAAAGCGCGCGCAGGUGGGAUCUUAAGUCUGUUCUGAAAGUUCGGAGCUUAACUCCGUGAUGGGAUGGAAACUGGGAUUCUUGAGUAUCGGAGAGGAAAGCGGAAUUCCCCGUGUAGCGGUGAAAUGCGUAGAUAUGGGGAGGAACACCAGUGGCGAAGGCGGCUUUCUGGACGAUGUCUGACACUGAGGCGCGAAAGCCAGGGGAGCGAACGGGAUUAGAUACCCCGGUAGUCCUGGCCGUAAACGAUGGGUACUAGGUGUGGGGGGUGUCAACUCCUCCCGUGGCGGCGCUAACGCAAUAAGUACCCCGCCUGGGGAGUACGGCCGCAAGGGUG
rnacentral:rRNA from 1 species